AGUAAAGACGUAAGUUUCUCCCGGCAUGGUACCACCGUUAUCGGGCCAAGCUAGUAGUUGCGAAUGACAACUCCAAGCAGGUCGCCCUCGCCGCCUAAGUGCGGUUCUGGGUAACCACCCUUAAGUCCUUAUCUUGCUAAGGUAGGGCGCGGUUCGGAGGGCACCGGGCAACAGAAGCCCUCCACU
rnacentral:tmRNA from 1 species